rnacentral:rRNA from 1 species
AUUGAACGCUGGCGGCAGGCCUAACACAUGCAAGUCGAGCGGAUGAAGGGAGCUUGCUCCUGGAUUCAGCGGCGGACGGGUGAGUAAUGCCUAGGAAUCUGCCUGGUAGUGGGGGAUAACGUCCGGAAACGGGCGCUAAUACCGCAUACGUCCUGAGGGAGAAAGUGGGGGAUCUUCGGACCUCACGCUAUCAGAUGAGCCUAGGUCGGAUUAGCUAGUUGGUGGGGUAAAGGCCUACCAAGGCGACGAUCCGUAACUGGUCUGAGAGGAUGAUCAGUCACCCUGGAACUUAGACACGGUCCAGACUCCUACGGGAGGCAGCAGUGGGGAAUAUUGGACAAUGGGCGAAAGCCUGAUCCAGCCAUGCCGCGUGUGUGAAGAAGGUCUUCUGAUUGUAAAGCACUUUAAGUUGGGAGGAAGGGCAGUAAGUUAAUACCUUGCUGUUUUGACGUUACCAACAGAAUAAGCACCGGCUAACUUCGUG